GAAAAAGCAGGGGCUCGUUACCUUUGUGAGCGUGCCUCUCGUAAACUUCAGGGAAAUCAUAUACAUCUUUAUUGGGUGAACCUCUGUUGUUUUGGUAGCAGAAGGUUCAGUAAAUGAUGGUACAUAA